UGCUUUUUUGCAUCCGUCUGAGUUUUCUUCUGUCUGUCCUGGGAACACUGCUAUAUGCUGGUAUCCAGUUCUAGUCUACAUGGAUGGAAGCAGAAUGAAAGGUGGGAGUUGCUUGCUAAGCGCCUCUCAGCAUCUGGUUCUAAAACAAACAAACCUCUUAAUCUACUUUUUUGGUCCUGUAUUAAUCUUCACUCUGCAUAUCCCGUUGACCAGUGUCUGCACACUUCAGUGACUAAUGGAAAUAUCUGAUACCGUGUAUGAAAGAAAGAAGCUUCAGAAUUUAUGGAUAGCAGACUCUAUGUGCAUCUCUGAAAGGUGAAGGCCAUAUUUUUUUAGAGCAGUAACUUGAUUUUUCUUUGUCACUUUUGUUGUCAUAUUUCACACGGUAGUAUGCAACAUAUCAAGGUUUAAGUCCCCUGUCAUGAUUUUUAUACUAGUUUUGCAUUUAUUCUAGACAUACUGUCUGGCUGCACAUUGAAUAAUACAUUUAAAAUGGGGCUUUUUGUAAUUAGCUCUUAGACUAUCUACAUAUGAAUGCCGAAGACUAAAUUCUGCUCUCAUUUACAUUGGUGUAAAUCCAGGCAAGUUACUCCGGAUUUAUAUAGGUGUAUCUGAGAGGAAAAUUUGGCCUUGUAUCUGUUAUCCUGUUUGCUGAUCUAAUACAACAUGUUAAAAGGAAAAUGUUAUUUGGCAAAACUGGAUUAUUUGAUUUUCUUCUGUCGCAAACUGAAUGUCACUGUUAUAUCACUGCUUUUGUUAGUUGCUUUUAGCAUCUUUGUGUAAAGUAUCCAACAGUCUGAACCACAGGAGCCAAAUGGAAGGUACAAAGUAAGCUUCAUGUUCAGUGUUUAGAAAUGUUAAAAAGAAGAGAGUGGAAAAGCUGGUGG
rnacentral:lncRNA from 1 species